UACAGAGGUGCCAAGCGUUGUUCGGAUUUACUGGGCGUAAAGGGUGCGUAGGCGGUCGCGCAAGUCGGACGUGAAAUCCCGGGGCCUAACCCCGGAACGGCGUUCGAAACUGCGCGGCUGGAGGUCUGGAGAGGUGACUGGAAUUCUCGGUGUAGCAGUGAAAUGCGUAGAUAUCGAGAGGAACACCAGAGGCGAAAGCGGGUCACUGGACAGAACCUGACGCUGAGGCACGAAAGCCAGGGGAG
rnacentral:rRNA from 1 species